rnacentral:lncRNA from 11 species
GGAGGCGUGUCAGGAAAGCAGAGAGGGGCGCUCCUUCAAGGCACCCCCGCCCCCAUCCGCCCCGCCGCGCGCCACUUGCUUGCUCCCAGAGGAGAGGGCCCUGCCCCGCCUUCCCCGCCCCUCGGCCACGUGACCGCGCGCCCCUGUCACUCACGCUGCUGUUGUCGCCCGUCCAGUGGACCAUCGCUUGGUUGUGGAUGGCGUCGCCUUUCAGGACGAAGGAGGUGCUGAGCAGGGAGGCGCCCUCCCGCAGGGGCCCCCCGGACGCGCUCCGGGUCUCUCUGCCGCCGCGCCAUCCUCGGGGGGCCUCCGUCCACCACAGCGCGAGGCGAGGAUGCGAAGCUGGCAGCAGGAGGAGAGCCAGCCAAGGAGAGGGAGGGAGGGAGCGUGGCGUUCCUGCGCUGCGUGGGAAACAGCGCGCCGGGUCUUCCCCGCCCAGCCCAGCCCGCGCGCCCCAGCGCCGCCCCCUGCCGGCCGGCCGCUCGCGCGCCCUCCUUCCUUCUGCAAGGGGCUCCCCUCCCUCCUCUGCAAGGGCUUGCUCCGCGCGCGCUCAUUGAGGGUG